GUUUUAUAACUCUGUGAGUUUGAGAAUCUGAACAACAGCAACCAUGAGCUUCAUCACCAUCUUCAUCUGGAUCUUCACCAGCUACUGUUUCACAGAAUCAGCAGCUGGAGUGACAGUCACUCAGACGCCUGCAGAGAAACCUGUUCAACCAGGAGACAAAGUUACCAUGUCCUGUAAAACCAGUCCUGAAGUUUACCAGGGUUGGAGUGUUCAGCCUUUAUCCUGGUACUUACAGAAACCUGGAGAAGCUCCUAAACUCCUGAUUUAUGAUGCAAACACUCUCCAGUCAGGAACUCCAUCUAGAUUCAGUGGCAGUGGAUCUAACAGUGAUUUCACUCUGACCAUCAGUGGAGUCCAGACUGAAGAUGCUGGACAUUAUUACUGUCAGAGUUACCACAGUGGUCGUGUGUUCACACAGUGAUAAAGCGUGGUACAAAAACCUGUGUCAGUCAGAGUCACAGUGACUGAACUGAUGCUGCAGCUGCUCAAAGGAGGAUCUGAAACUCUGUUGUUUUUGCUCUUUCUCCUCAUAUUCUGACUCUCUGUAGGGAGAAGAGAAAUGCUGGAAACUGGACUGAUUGAAUCUGCACAGCUUUGAGGUUUUGAUUUGAUUCAUUGUGCUCUUAUAGAUCCGUCACAUGAUGGAGAUUGAAGCUCAACAUCUGUCUCACAAACACAUGCAGCUGUUUUCAGUCACAGAUACAGCUGCUAUAAUGAAUGAGGAAUGACAAAACUCUAGGAUACUUAAAUUCAGCACAGAAACUCACAGUUUAAUAACAUAUUUAAUUUGAUGAAUGAUAUGUAAACCUUGUUUCACAGCUCUUCAAACUCUCUCUUUCAGGUCGGUUCAGCAAAUGCUUCACAUAAAGAUCAGACAGUGUCUCUGCUGAUUUAUGAUCCUAAAACCCUCAUAUUGUGUGUCAGAGUUUCUCCAUCGACUGUAAAACCAGCGAUCGAUCUCAGUUACUGUACACUACUGUUGAAACAAUUGGGAUCUUUCUUACACAAAUGUAAUAUUUACAAGUGCAUUUAUAAAAUUCCCAUACACAUAUGUUUAU